rnacentral:rRNA from 1 species
UGGGGAAUUUGGACAAUGGGCGAAAGCCUGAUCCAGCAAUGCCGCGUGUGUGAAGAAGGCCUUCGGGUUGUAAAGCACUUUUGUCCGGAAAGAAAUCCUUGGCUCUAAUACAGUCGGGGGAUGACGGUACCGGAAGAAUAAGCACCGGCUAACUACGUGCCAGCAGCCGCGGUAAUACGUAGGGUGCAAGCGUUAAUCGGAAUUACUGGGCGUAAAGCGUGCGCAGGCGGUUUGCUAAGACCGAUGUGAAAUCCCCGGGCUCAACCUGGGAACUGCAUUGGUGACUGGCAGGCUAGAGUAUGGCAGAGGGGGGUAGAAUUCCACGUGUAGCAGUGAAAUGCGUAGAGAUGUGGAGGAAUACCGAUGGCGAAGGCAGCCCCCUGGGCAAUACUGACGCUCAUGCACGAAAGCGUGGGGAGCAAACAGGAUUAGAUACCCUGGUAGUCCACGCCCUAAACGAUGUCAACUAGUUGUUGGGGACUUCAUUUUCCUUAGUAACGUAGCUAACGCGUGAAGUUGACCGCCUGGGGAGUACGGUCGCAAGAUUAAAACUUAAAGGAAUUGAC